GACGAACGCUGGCGGCGUGCUUAACACAUGCAAGUCGAGCGGUAAGGCCCUUUCGGGGUACGACGAGCGGCGAACGGGUGAGUAACACGUGGGUGACCUGCCCUUAGCUCUGGGAUAAGCCUGGGAAACGUGGGUCUAAUACCGGAUAUGACUCCAUGACGCAUGUUGUGGGGUGGAAAGCCUUAUGCGGCUGGGGAUGGCCCGCGGCCUAUCAGCUUGUUGGUGGGGUGAUGGCCUACCAAGGCGA
rnacentral:rRNA from 1 species